UGCCUGCCACCACAUACCUGUGAUGUCUGCAUAUGGGUAACAUGGCUCCUGAAGCGUGCAUAUGUUACAGAGCAAAGCGAAAGGAAUUCUGCAAUUAGAAGAAUAUUCAUGGAAAUUAAGCUCUACUAAUUUGCAGCUGAUGGGAGCAAAGGGAAAAGAAUGAGAUUGAUUCCGUGGCUCGAUGCAGGCUGGUUAAAUGCAACUCCAGGACCCUCCAGCUUCCAACCUUCACUCACCCACAUGUGAAGAAAGCCCACCUGUGCCCUCCCGAAACCCCCAGCCCCCCUCACAGCUCAUCCCCACUCCCGCCAGCGGCCUCGCGCCGUACGGAUUUCGGAGCCCAUCGGUGAUUCAGCAGCGGGCACAGCACCCACACAAGUCACAUCAGUCAUGCUCCCAGUAUGAAGGAAAUGCUCGUAUGAGACAUAGCUAAAUAUUCUUGGGGUGGAGAGAAAGAUCUUUUCAUCUUACUUAAUUCCACACAGCAUCUGGCUGUUUCCCACUAACGAGCAACUAAUACUGCAAUUAAAGCCCUGCUAAUUGGAAACUCAGAAAUGCUGGGGUCUUUGCUUUUGUCUUUCACAGGUUUGCAGGCUGGCUGGGGCUGCGGCGGGCACACCGGAGUGGUGAUGCCAGCACCAGGAACUGCGACCUCCAGACUGGUAAAUUCACAUCCCUGCUGCAACAGGCACCAUGGCUCUGCAGGAAACAGCCGGCUCAGCGCCGAGACCCUGCCGUGCCACGGUACCCAGGCCACCAGCACCCACCCAGUCCCCACCAGCUGCUCACAGGACCCCUCUGUAAACGGGACAGACCUCGGGGAGGGGUCUGUGCAGCUGGGGGAUGCUGCUGGGGAGAGGGGCUCCUGUUCCCAGGGAGGACCUUGCAGCAGGUACCAUGCACAGUGGCCCGUCCCCACGAGGCUGGCAGAUGCAGAACUGCUCCGUCCCUGGGAGGAGGGUGAAGGGGCCCUCGCAUCCCCACCAUGGGUUAGUUAUUUUGGGAACCGUCUGGAGCUGGCAGCUGGUGCUGGGGUGGGUGACAGCUGAGCAUGGCUUUCACUUGGGAUCCGCGAGGCCCCUUCUCACGCAUCUAUUUCCGACCCUGUAAAACACAAUCUGCCAGGGUGUGAGCUUGGGGGGGCACCCAAAAAAGCUGCUUGCAAGGGACCGGCUUGUGCUAGGCAGCUCAGGGUCCCCGUGCACCUUGGAGGUGCCUCCAAGCGUGGUUAGGAAGUUGCAGAGAUGCUGUCCUUUAACUCCUGCCUGCGCAGCACCGACUCAGUGAGGUCUGUGCCUGGUGCUAACUGCCAUAGCCCCUGUCAGCAGCCCAACCAGUGAGGUUUGGUGUCCUACACGUCUCCCACGCACUUUCUCUGGGGUCUAAUUGACGGAAAGUGUUUGCCUGUCCAGCUAAAAAUAGCAAGAACUUCAUGUAACUUGAGAUGAGCCCUAAAUACUUUUCCUCCCAGCUUUCCGCUUCCACAGGCUUUGCACGUGUCUUCCUCUGUUCCCCUAAUUAUGGAUUAGAGAGUAAUGAGAGACAGUGAGCCCAUUUCCCCCAAGGUCUGACAGGAUGGUAGUACCAAGGGCUCCUUCUACAUGCCAAUCCCUCACCAAUCACCAGGAAAUACCUGGACUAAGGCUUGUUCUGCUGCAAAAUUCCCCCAAGAAUAUACAGGGGAAAAGCAUCUUCUUCGUGUACAGGGAAAAUUUAGAAGUGGAGCUGCAGGCUGCCAUGGAGACAGGGCUCUGUUUGCAGUCCUCCUGCCUUUUAUUGUCUCCUCGCCUCUCCCAGGUGGUUGAAAAGCAGCCAGGAGCAUAGCCAGCAUUGUCUCCUGUGCUCCUGCUGACCAUGGCUGCCAUGUAAGUGCUUAGGAGGCCCAGCUGGGUUUCCUCUCUGGUCCUUCACCUCCUCCUGCUUUUUGACACCCCCUUGCUAUAUCUGGGGAUCAUAAAGCAAAUCUGUGCUGCUUCUCUCUCAGCCUCAUUGGGCUCAUGUGCAACGUGAGUGCCAUCAGGGUUUGGGGGCCCUCUGCUUGCUCUCCCUUGCUCUUUUCCCACUGGUGGUGGCCAGGUAGCCAAGGGCAUGAGCAGCCAAGGCUGAGCCAGGGCUGCUUCUCCUGGGACAUACCGUUAUGGUCAGGCUGGAAACUGCCUGCUGCAGUGGGAAGCUCUGAUGGAAGCUUCCUGAGAAGCAGGAGGGGAAAUAACUGCCCCUGGCAGCAGCUGAAAUGCCUCAGUCUCUGCCCUUAGCAGUAAGGCUGUGAGCAUCAGAGGAAGCGUUUCUCUGAGGUAGGACCUAAAGAUCUUCCAGCAAAUUAAACUUCUCCAUGUCAAGUCUGUGCUUGACUUCACAACACCUGGGUUCCAAAACUAAGCUGCGCAUUAUUUUUAUGCUGUCCUUCCUUGUUUGUGAUACCAGUUGUGUGGUGGUUUGUCUAAAUGCUGGGUAUUUCUGUGUGCUGCGUGAUGCUCAGUCAAGUGGGAGCUGAGAAAAGGCAACUUCUGCAUGUUGAUAGAAUGCCUGUUGCAGUCCUUGCUGUGAAAAGCAUCUGCUGUGCUGCCGCUGUCUUCUCAUCCUUCAACUCCCUCUCUGGCUUUCCAGAGUGUUACAUGUCCCUGAUCCUGCUCUGCUCUACCAGGCUUCAAGGCAGCAGCCACAGAAGAAAAAGAAAAGGCAAAUUCAGUUUUCACUUCCUAUGUUCCUCCUCCUCUUUUUUUUUUUUUUUUUUUUUUUUAAACUUGGCUCGUUGUGAAAACCACCCCUUUAAUGCCUGGCUGCCAAAUAGAGCAAUUCUUUCAAAAGAGAAAUGUACAUCAAAGUUGCAAGGAAUAUUCAAUUAACCUUUAAAGGAGAUCAUCCAUAACUGGCUUACAGAGAUGUCAUUUCAUUGUUUCAAAAAAAUAAACACAGGCACUUGCCUUUCAGAGGAGCAUGUCUGUUGAGACAGUUCUGGCUGAUGUCUUGCUAAAAGGCAAUUAAAUAUCUGAAUGUUCCUUCCAGCUUGCAUUCUGAGUUAGAACCUCUGACAUAGCUGUCUUUGCUUAGGCAAUAUGGCAAGUAGCCAAAUUUAUCCCUUCUGCAUUGAGGAAACCUGGAUAAACUCCUCGGGGAAAAUACCACUGA